rnacentral:lncRNA from 1 species
UCUAAGUGUCCAAGUGAAAGGAAAAGCUGCAUAUCUCACCUUUUAAAUCAAAAGCUAGAAAUGAUUAAGUUUAGGUAGGAAGACAUGUCAAAAACCAAGAAAGGCCCAAAUUAGGCCUCUCGCACCAGUUAGCCAAGUUAGAAAAGCAAAGAAAAAGUUCUUAAAGGAAAUUAAAAAGUACUACUUCCGUGAAUACAUAAAGAAUAAGCAAAACAGCUUUAUUGCUGAUAUAAAGAAAGUUCGAGUGAUCUGGGUAGAUGAUCAAACCACAAUAUUCCCUUCAGACAAAACCUAAUUGAGGGCCAGUAUUAACUCUAUUGAAUUCUAGGAAAGUCAAGAAAGGUAAGGAAGCUACAAAAGAAAAUUUGAAGCUAAGAGAAAUUAGUUCAUGAGGUUUAAGGAAAGAAGCUGUUUUUAUAACAUAAAUGUUCAAGAUGUAAUAGCAAGUGCUGAUGUAGAAGUUGCAGCCAGUUUUCCACAAGAUCUAGCUAAGAAAAUCAAUGAGGGGGGCUACACUAAACAACAGAUUUUCAAUGUACAUAAAGCAGCUUUCUAUUAGAAGAAUAGACCACCUAGGAGUUUUAGAGCUAGAGAGGAAUCAAUGCCUGACUUCAAAGCUUCAAAAAAUAGGCGGCAAGUUGGUGGAAUAGUAAGCCACCAAGGGCUACAGCUCUCUGUGACUCCAAGUGAAGUUGAAAAGCAUUCUAGGCCAUAAGAACUGCAACUCUUAGGUGAGUCCUACGGCUGAACUAGGCCCAGAGAAGGGUAACUAGGGAGUCACAUGACGUACUGAGAUAGAAGCUGGGGUAGCCAAAGGAGUUCCGGCAAGGGAGUUCCCCUAACCUCAGGCUGCACACCUCAGAGCUCCAAAAGCGACUCUUCCCUUCUGCAUGAGGGGAGCAAAGGGAAGAGCAGAUAGGACUUUGUUUUGCAUUUUGGAUACCAGUUCAGCCACAGAAGAACUCUGGACACCAGCCAGAGUUGUGAGGUCCCUGUUCCAAGCCCUAGCUCCCAGAUGACAUUUCUAGACAUACCCUGGGCCAAAGAGAAUCUGCUGCCUUGAAGAAAAGAACCCAGUCCUGGCACCAUUCAUCACUUGCUAGUUAAAGAGUCCUUGGACCCUGAAUAACCAGCAGUGAUACCCAAGUCCUACAUCAAGGGCCUUUGUGAGCCUCUGAAACUUGCUGGCUUAAGGUAUCAGCAUGCCCACAGCAGGGUGGAGCACCAAGCAGCGUGUUGGAAUCCCUGAUUCUAGGACUAAAGUCUUAGAUGGCAUUUCUGGACCUGCCCUGGGCCAGACGGGAGCCCACUUCCCAGAAGGUGAGUCCCAGGCCAGGCAGCAUUCAGGACAAGCUAACUUAAGAGACCUUGGGCCUUAAGGAAAUAUUGGCAGUAUUCUGGAAGUACUCUUUGUGACCUGGGGUGGUGGUGACUCUGGGGUGAGGCUCCCCUGCCAUUGGAAAAAAACAGGGAAGAGUGGGAAGGACUGCAUCUUGUGGUUGGAGUACCAGCUCAGCUGCAAUACAAUAGAAUACCAGGUAGACUUCUACAAUUUUUGACUCUAGUCCCUGACUACUGGACUGUACUUCUGGACUCACCCAGGACCUGGUGGACCUCGCCAUCCUGAAGGGAAUGACACAAGCCUUGCUGCCUUUAAUAUCUACUGAUAGUCGAGUCUCAGGGCCUUGAGCUAACAUAGGUGGUGGCCUGGGAGUGGUUACAGCAGGCCUUGGGCAAGACUUAGUGCUGUGUUGGCUUCAGAUCAGACUCAGCACAGUUAUAGUGAUGGUGGCCACAGGGGUGCUUGUGUCACUCCAUCCCCAGCUUUAGGUAACUCAGAACAGUGAGAGAGAGAGAGAGAGAGAGAUUCUGUGUGUUUGGGAGGUUGUAAGGGAAGAGAACAAUAGUCUUUGCCUGAUAAUCCAGAGAAUUCUCCCAGAUCUUGUCCAAGACCUUCUAAGGUGGUAUGGUACCUCUACAAGUCUGCAAGAACCACAGUAUUACUGGGCUUUGGGUACCCUCUAAAGCAGAUGGAGUUUAGAUCACAACACCCAAGUCAUUUCAAAUACCCAGAGAGACUUCCCAAGAAGGACAGCUACAGAUAAGCCUGGACAUUGAUGACUACAAUAAAUACCCAACUCUUCAAUGCCCAGACACCAAAGAACAUCUACCAGCAAUGACACCAUCCAGGAAAACAUGGCCUCAACAAAUGAACUAAAUAAGGCAUUAGGGACCAAUCCUUGAGAAACAGAAAUAAGUGACAUUUCCCAUAGAUAAUUCAAAAUAGCUGUUUUGAGGAAACUCAAAGAAAUGUAUGAUAAUACAGGAAAGGAAUUCAGAAUCCUAUCAGAUAAAUUUAAUAAACAGAUUGAAAUAAUUAAAUAUAAUCAAGCAGAAAUUCUAAAGCUGAAAAAUGCAAUUUGCAUACUAGAAAAAGAAUUAGAGUCCUUGAAUAGAAGAAUUGAUCAAGCAAAAGAAAGAAUUAGUGAACUUGAAGAUAGGUUAUUUGAAAAUACACAGUCGAAGAGACCAAAAGAAAAAGAAUAAAAAGCAAUGAAGCAUGCCUACAGCAUGUAGAAAAUAGCUUCAAAAGGGCAGAUCUGCAACUUAUUGGCCUUAAAGAGGAGGUAGAGAAAGAGAUAGGAGUAGAAAGUUCAUUCAAAGGGAUAAUAACAGAGAACUUCCCAAAUCUAGAGUAAGAUAUCAAUAUCAAAGUACAAGAACACUACAGAAUACCAAGCAGAUUUAGCUUGAAAAAGCAUACCUCCAGGCACUUAAUAAUCAAACUCCGAAUGUUCAAAGAUAAAGAAAGGAUCCUAAAAGCAGCAAGAGAAAAGAAACAAACAAUAUUUAAUGGAGCUCCA